rnacentral:miRNA from 1 species
ACCUUCUCCUUUGGACUUUCUCCCUUUUUUGCUUGACAAGUUAGCUUGAAAAGCAAAUGUUAGCUUGUAUAAUAUAUUAAUGACAUUGUUUUAAGUAUAAGGAGAAUGACACAUGUCAAGCAAAAAAAGGAGAAGGUCUAAAGAAGAAGGU